rnacentral:lncRNA from 1 species
GCCACAUCCCCAGCUCUACUUUGUAUUUAGAGACAGGGUCUCAUUGAAUUGCUUAGCACCUUGCUUCUGCUGAGGCUGGCUUUGAACUUGUGAUCCUCCUGCCUCAGCUUCUCCAGCUGCUGGGAUUACAGGCAUGUGCCACCAUGCCCGGUUUGGAUAGAUUUUGAUAGAGGCUUAUCUGGUGAAUGAUACAAGGAGCUUGGGAAAUGUUUUGGGUCAAUAAAGUGUACUUGGAAAAAAGCUCCCAAACACCUAGGGGUGAAUGGGGCAGUUAAAGGUACAGAUGUUCUUGCUGUCUAGGGGUGCUGGGUUCAUUGUCUCCAUUCAGCAAAGAACAGGACACAGAAGAAGCAAGCAAGAAGUAUAGGUUUAUAGUAGAGGAGACAGAGAUACAGAUAGACUUCUCUGAAGAAAAGUGGCCCCAGAACUGGGAAUCUGGUGGGGGAGUUUUGGCCAGUUCUUUUUAUAGUCUCUCGAAUUUCCUCCUUUCCCUGUCUCUUCCCCUGUCCAUGCACUCCUCACUAUUUCUGAUUACUGCCCCCUCUGUCCACAUGUCUGUUUUAUUUUUUUUUUCUAUUGGAUCUCCUGCUUAGGAGCAUGAGUACAGAAGUAUCUGUCUGAAUGGAUCCCCCACUUGUGUCCAGGAGCACUUUGGUCAAGCAGGAAGUUGACCUCAUUGGAAGACUCUCUUCCUGCUCUUUUUUUCUGGCCCUGCCCCCAGUCUUCUCACUCACCAUCUUGCUCUGGCUGCCUAUGCCCUUCUACACAUCCCUUAAGGUGAUCAGGACCUUCGUUAUAUGCACCUUCCAAAAGAGCUGCCCAUAAUUCCUUCCAACCCAGGAAUUGCAUAUGCUCUUCUGAAAUGGAAUUCCCUAUUUUAGUAGAUUAAUAUGUUGCUGCAGACAUCAGUGUUAGCCUGUUAAGCCAAUCACCAAGUAACCAAUAUAUAAAAUAGUUACAUUAACUCAGCAUGCAUUUUUAGAUAUAUAAGCACUGUUAUAAUCUUUUUCCAAACCAAAACCCAACCUAAAAGAGCUCUCCAAACAAACCAAUAGAAUUACUAGGAAAUUUUCAUCCUUCAAAUUUAACCUCAUCAACCAAUACCCUGCAACCAAAUGGCUUAUCUAAGCGCCAACACAAAAUGACCCACUCAAGGUCCAAAGACUCAAAGAGCGAAAAUAAAAUUCUCCGUGUGCACUCUGAUGAGGACAACCAGUGGGAACCUGGCAUUUGCCAAACUAACCUUUUUCCCCCUUACCAACAAAUAAUUUUUAGUGCUUGAGGCUAUAGCAAGAAAUGUGGGAGAAUGUGAGUUGGGGGGUUGUGGGGGGCAUGAAUCCCAGGAUAUAAAAGUGUCUCUAGGUGGCUUCUGGGAUUUUCCUUGAAAUUCUAACUGUAGGUUUGGCAAGUCUUGAGUGGUCGAGCUCCCUCCUCCUUAUGGAUCCUUAUGGAUCACUGCAAGCUUGAGCUAUGUUGCUCAAGGGAUGAUCCUUGCUUGCAGUUCACUGCUCCACAAAUGCUUAGAGUCAUGCUGGCGAGUAAAUAGCCAAC